UUGAAGUUUCAACUGUAAGUUUUUUUCAAAUAUUUUCUAAUAAGAAUGUAGUUUUUUUGUUAGUUUUUGUUUGAUUGUUUCCAUUUAGUGAAUUAUUCAGUGAUUUCUACGUACUAGUUGUCAUAUAAAGAUUUUUGUUCUCGUUAUGAUGGCAGUACAGCAAAUCACUCAAGGCAUGCUAUGACAUGAAUUCACUUUUUUACCACUUGGGAGAGUAUCAAAAUCCUACGUUGAAAAUGGACUAGAAGAUACUGAUAAUAAUAAUGGUUUUUUGCAAUAUUGCAGUACAGUAGAUCACUCAAGGCAUGCUAUGACAUGAAUUAAAAUUUUUACCACGUGGGAAAAUUACAACAUCCUACGUUGAAAAUUAACUAGAGGAUACUGAUAAUGAUAAUGGUUUUAUGCAAUGUACGCGUAAUGGUUAUUAAAUGUAAUUGAAAGUAAAUUAAUAGUAGUGUAACAAUUGAAGUUUGUUAAAAAUCUGAAUAAAGGAUUGGUAAACAACUUUAGUUGUAAUUUUCAUUCAUAAAAUUUGCCUUAGCAAAAAUUAAAAUUAUU